rnacentral:rRNA from 1 species
CACGUAGGGUGCGAGCGUUGUCCGGAAUUAUUGGGCGUAAAGAGCUCGUAGGCGGUGUGUCGCGUCGGCCGUGAAAACCUGCAGCUUAACUGUGGGCUUGCGGUCGAUACGGGCAUCACUGGAGUUCGGCAGGGGAGACUGGAAUUCCUGGUGUAGCGGUGGAAUGCGUAGAGAUCCGGAAGAACACCGGUGGCGAAGGCGGUCUGCUGGGGUCGAACUGACGCUGAGGCGCGACAGCGGUGGGGAGCAAACAGGAUUAGAGUACCG